rnacentral:rRNA from 1 species
GGAAUAUAUUUAAAAUUAAAGAAUUUGGCGGUGUUUUACCCUUAUAGAGGAACUUGUCCUUUUGUCGAUAGUCCCCGUUAAAUCUAACCUUAUUUAAGGUUUAUAUACCGUUGUUGUCAGAUUACUUAUUUGAUAGUUAUUUAGUUUUCUAAAAAGUUUUGUAUUUUAUUACUUCAAAUCAAGGUGUAGUGUAUAGUAAGGGUUGAGAUGAGUUACUUUUAGUAAGAGAUUAGAUACUUAGUGUAAUACUAAGUUGAAAUAGGAUUUAUUAGUAAAUUUUUAUUAAUAUGGAAAGUUGAAUAGGGCUCUAGAACAUGUACAUAUCGCCCGUCACUCUAAUUUUAAUAUUAGAUAAGUCGUAACAAAGUAGGUGUAAGGGAACUUGCCCCUAGAUGC